CAUAGAAUUGUUGCCCAUGUACCUUGCACAAAAUUCUCCUCACAUGUUCCAUGGUAUCUAACCGUUCAUAUUUUGGCUAUAACUUUGAUGUAUCGAGGCAAUUACUGUAAGAAUACUAAGAGAUUAAUUGAGAACAUUAAAUUCAUUUUUUGAGCAUGUUUGUCUUUUCCCUAUGGUCACACAUUUUAAUUUAGAGUCAUCAGCUGGUUUAUGGAAAAGAGCUAUACACAGUCACAAGAA